GACGAACGCUGGCGGCGUGCCUAACACAUGCAAGUCGAGCGGAGUCGAUCGACGGAAGCCUUCGGGCGGAAGAUGGUUGACUUAGCGGCGGAUGGGUGAGUAACGCGUGGGCAACCUGCCUCGAAGACCGGGAUAACAGCCCGAAAGGGCUGCUAAUACCGGAUGUGGUCAAGGAUCCGCAUGGAUUUUUGAUUAAAGGGGAAACCCGUUUCGAGAUGGGCCCGCGUCCUAUCAGCUAGUUGGUGAGGUAAAAGCUCACCAAGGCGACGACGGGUAGCCGGCCUGAGAGGGUGACCGGCCACACUGGAACUGAGACACGGUCCAGACUCCUACGGGGGGCAGCAGUGGGGAAUCUUCCACAAUGGGCGAAAGCCUGAUGGAGCGACGCCGCGUGAGCGAAGAAGGCCUUCGGGUUGUAAAGCUCUGUCUGGAGGGACGAAGGAAGUGACGGUACCUCCGGAGGAAGCCACGGCUAACUACGUGCCAGCAGCCGCGGUAAAGUACUCUAU
rnacentral:rRNA from 1 species